rnacentral:rRNA from 1 species
AGUGGCGAACGGGUGAGUAACACGUGGGUGAUCUGCCCUGCACUUUGGGAUAAGCCUGGGAAACUGGGUCUAAUACCGAAUACACCUUGCUGGUCGCAUGGCCUGGUGGGGGAAAGCUUUUGCGGUGUGGGAUGGGCCCGCGGCCUAUCAGCUUGUUGGUGAGGUUAUGGCUUACCAAGGCGACGACGGGUAGCCGGCCUGAGAGGGUGACCGGCCACACUGGGACUGAGAUACGGCCCAGACUCCUACGGGAGGCAGCAGUGGGGAAUAUUGCACAAUGGGCGCAAGCCUGAUGCAGCGACGCCGCGUGGGGGAUGACGGCCUUCGGGUUGUAAACCUCUUUCAGUGCCGACGAAGCGUAAGUGACGGUAGGCACAGAAGAAGGACCGGCCAACUACGUGCCAGCAGCCGCGGUAAUACGUAGGGUCCGAGCGUUGUCCGGAAUUACUGGGCGUAAAGAGCUCGUAGGUGGUUUGUCGCGUUGUCCGUGAAAACUCACAGCUUAACUGUGGGCGUGCGGGCGAUACGGGCAGACUUGAGUACUGCAGGGGAGACUGGAAUUCCUGGUGUAGCGGUGGAAUGCGCAGAUAUCAGGAGGAACACCGGUGGCGAAGGCGGGUCUCUGGGCAGUAACUGACGCUGAGGAGCGAAAGCGUGGGGAGCGAACAGGAUUAGAUACCCUGGUAGUCCACGCCGUAAACGGUGGGUACUAGGUGUGGGUUUCCUUCCUUGGGAUCCGUGCCGUAGC